rnacentral:rRNA from 1 species
GAUGAACGCUGGCGGCGUGCCUAAUACAUGCAAGUCGAGCGAACAGACGAGGAGCUUGCUCCUCUGACGUUAGCGGCGGACGGGUGAGUAACACGUGGAUAACCUACCUAUAAGACCGGGAUAACUUCGGGAAACCGGAGCUAAUACCGGAUAAUAUAUUGAACCGCAUGGUUCAAUAGUGAAAGACGGUUUUGCUGUCACUUAUAGAUGGAUCCGCGCCGCAUUAGCUAGUUGGUAAGGUAACGGCUUACCAAGGCAACGAUGCGUAGCCGACCUGAGAGGGUGAUCGGCCACACUGGAACUGAGACACGGUCCAGACUCCUACGGGAGGCAGCAGUAGGGAAUCUUCCGCAAUGGGCGAAAGCUUGACGGAGCAACGCCGCGUGAGUGAUGAAGGUCUUCGGAUCGUAAAACGCUGUUAUUAGGGAAGAACAAAUGUGUAAGUAACUAUGCACGUCUUGACGGUACCUAAUCAGAAAGCCACGGCUAACUACGUG